rnacentral:rRNA from 1 species
AGCAGCCGCGGUAAUUCCAGCUCCAAUAGCGUAUAUUAAAGUUGUUGUGGUUAAAAAGCUCGUAGUUGAACCUUGGGCCUGGCUGGCCGGUCCGCCUCACCGCGUGUACUGGUCCGGCCGGGCCUUUCCCUCUGUGGAACCCCAUGCCCUUCACUGGGUGUGGCGGGGAAACAGGACUUUUACUGUGAAAAAAUUAGAGUGCUCCAGGCAGGCCUAUGCUCGAAUACAUUAGCAUGGAAUAAUAGAAUAGGACGUGUGGUUCUAUUUUGUUGGUUUCUAGGACCGCCGUAAUGAUUAAUAGGGACAGUCGGGGGCAUCAGUAUUCAAUUGUCAGAGGUGAAAUUCUUGGAUUUAUUGAAGACUAACUACUGCGAAAGCAUUUGCCAAGGAUGUUUUCAUUAAUCAGGAACGAAAGUUAGGGGAUCGAAGACGAUCAGAUACCGUCGUAGUCUUAACCAUAAACUAUGCCGACUAGGGAUCGGACGGUGUUAUUUUUUGACCCGUUC